rnacentral:rRNA from 1 species
CAGUAGCCACGGUAAUACGUAGGUGGCGAGCGUUGUCCGGAAUUAUUGGGCGUAAAGGGCUCGCAGGCGGUUUCUUAAGUCUGAUGUGAAAGCCCCCGGCUCAACCGGGGAAGGUCAUCGGAAACUGGGAAACUCGAGUGCAGAAGAGGAGAGUGGAAUUCCACGUGUAGCGGUGAAAUGCGUAGAAAUGUGGAGGAACACCAGUGGCGAAGGCGACUCUCUGGUCUGUAACUGACGCUGAGGAGCGAAAGCGUGGGGAGCGAACAGGAUUAGAUACCCCUGUAGUCCCUGUCUCUUAUAC